rnacentral:misc_RNA from 1 species
GUGGGCUCCUCAAUAGUUUCAGAAACAGCCUGUUUCUUUUCCUUCUUACCAGUUGCAGAUGCCUUCCUUUUUGACACAGAAUCUUGUUUGCGUUUGUUCUUUUUGUGUCCAGAUUUGUCGUUGUUCGGAAGUUCUAAUACCGACUCCGAAUUAGGUUGGGGUGACGCCAUCCUCACCAACCGGAGUUGCUGCCCCACUGCUGGCCUG